GUUGUCGUGUAGCGGACAGGGUUUGAGAUUCGAUUCAAGACGCACUACUGUGAGUACAUAGACCCCUCUCUUACUAUUUUCCAAUGUUUUGGGGAGCUGUUGCUUAGGAUGUUCGUGACACACUAGGGCGGACCUAUGCCUUAGAGACUAAAAUAAAGAUGGAACUAGUUUAAUUAUGUGAUGAACACUUUGUUUCAGUUAAUUUAAGACUAU
rnacentral:lncRNA from 1 species